rnacentral:rRNA from 1 species
GAUGAACGCUAGCGGCAGGCCUAAUACAUGCAAGUCGAGGGGUAGAGAAGAGCUUGCUUUUCUUGAGACCGGCGCACGGGUGCGUAACGCGUAUGCAACCUACCUUUAUCAGGGGGAUAGCCUCUCGAAAGAGAGAUUAACACCGCAUAAAAACACAGUACGGCAUCGUACAAUGUUCAAAUAUUUAUAGGAAAAAGAUGGGCAUGCGUGACAUUAGCUAGUUGGUGAGGUAAGGGCUCACCAAGGCGACGAUGUCUAGGGGAUCUGAGAGGAUGACCCCCCACACUGGUACUGAGACACGGACCAGACUCCUACGGGAGGCAGCAGUAAGGAAUAUUGGUCAAUGGGGGCAACCCUGAACCAGCCAUGCCGCGUGCAGGAAGACGGCCCUACGGGUUGUAAACUGCUUUUAUACGGGAAUAAACCCCUUUACGUGUAAAGGGUUGAAUGUACUGUAAGAAUAAGGAUCGGCUAACUCCGUGCCAGCAGCCGCCGUAAGAC